GGAGUAAAGGAGGGGUGUGUGAGAGUUCAAUGCUUCCCUGGAGGCCUCUGAGUGAGGUCUUAACAGCAGCUACUGUAGAGAAAGGGGAGACUAACAGCCUUGGGCUGAGAAUCAACUGGGGGUGCCUUACCUGGAAAAUCUGGUGCUUCAGUCUCGUGAGUUCCAAGUGACUUUGGUGGCCAUGAUCCAGGACCCUUCCUGCACACGGAGCUCUCACUGCAAGCUAUGGCAGACUGAGACGUGCAAGGAGAAAAACAAGCUUUCCCUCUAAAGAGGGCUCAUCAGCAACCUCUGGAAAAUGCACACUAUGCCAUCAGACCGACAAUCCAUCCUGAGUAUAAAUUAUUCAGCCAUUCCACUCACCCUAACCAGCUGCUGUGGGAAGGGUCCUCUCGAAUUUUCUGGCACAUUGAUUGGUGGGAUGACCCAGUCUCGCUUCUGCCGCCUCAACCCAUGAGAAUUCGGAUGAUGGCGCCAGGGCAGCAGUGUGUCACUAGGCUGCUGCAGAAGGUCUGCCGACGUGUUCU